rnacentral:rRNA from 1 species
UACGUAGGGUGCGAGCGUUAAUCGGAAUUACUGGGCGUAGAGCGUGCGCAGGCGGUUUUGUAAGCCAGAUGUGAAAGCCCCGGGCUUAACCUGGGAAUGGCAUUUGGGACUGCAAGGCUGGAGUUUGGCAGAGGAGACUGGAAUUCCUGGUGUAGCAGUGAAAUGCGUAGAUAUCAGGAGGAAUACCGAUGGCGAAGGCAGGUCUCUGGGCUAUAACUGACGCUCAUGCACGAAAGCGUGGGGAGCAAACAGG